UAGGGAAUCUUCCGCAAUGGGCGAAAGCCUGACGGAGCAACGCCGCGUGAGUGAUGAAGGUCUUCGGAUCGUAAAACUCUGUUAUUAGGGAAGAACAAAUGUGUAAGUAACUAUGCACGUCUUGACGGUACCUAAUCAGAAAGCCACGGCUAACUACGUGCCAGCAGCCGCGGUAAUACGUAGGUGGCAAGCGUUAUCCGGAAUUAUUGGGCGUAAAGCGCGCGUAGGCGGUUUUUUAAGUCUGAUGUGAAAGCCCACGGCUCAACCGUGGAGGGUCAUUGGAAACUGGAGAACUUGAGUGCGGAAGGGGAAAGUGGAAUUCCAUGUGUAGCGGUGAAAUGCGCGGGGAUAUGGAGGAACACCAGUGGCGAAGGCGACUUUCUGGUCUGUAACUGACGCUGAUGAGCGAAAGCGUGGGGAUCAAACAGG
rnacentral:rRNA from 1 species